AGAAUAUUAGUUAAAAAAUAACAUUUAAAUUGCAUUUAAAAAUUUUAUAUAAAUUAAAUAUUUUA
rnacentral:tRNA from 1 species